rnacentral:snoRNA from 1 species
ACGACCUUACUUGAACAGGAUCUGUUCUAUAGGCUCGUACCUCUGUAUCCUUGACUUCUAAGGAGACAGGAAAUCAAGUCUGGUGGAUGAGCCAUGUCUGCUCGACCAGAGCGUGAUUAACAGACUCACCGGCUCGGGCUAGUUGACUCAGUGGAGGAUCGUUCUUAGUUAGCUUUGGCUGGCUAUGGUGGUCGAGCAGUUGUCUGACAGACU